GGGCCUCCACAGGCUUGAUCUCACAACCCUGAGAGUCAGACGCUUAACCGACUGAGUUACCCAGGCACUCCUACUUCCUAGAAACUUCUUAAGCUCCAGCAAAUAGACCCUAAAUAGUCCCGAGAGAAUAUUCCGGAGAUCAUUCUGCAUCAAAUCCAUGGCUUUUCUGACCCAGGAUCCCUAAGAUUGGCUGGUUCGGGUUAAUAGGAAGAUCUAAACAGCAAGGCCACACCGUGUUCUGGAGGGUUUACGUCAGCACCUCACGGUACCGCCUUCCUUCUGGGGAUACCAUGCUCCCCACCAAGUCUCAGCGCCCCUCUCCUGUACGCCUGCACAGUGGUUUUCCGUUUCCCAAAAGCAUAGCAACUAAUCUCAUCUCUGAAAGAACUUUUCCUGACGGUAAAGAAGACAAUAAAUGAGACGUGAACUCCAAGGCUUUGAAAGGAGCCAAGAUGGCGGGAGAGGCGCGCCUUCUCGACUUCAGGGCAUGUGGUGUUUCAGGGAUGACUCACUGCCUAUUCCCGUGGCUGGAGCCUCGAGGCCCUGCCGAUUACCUGAACAGUUUCUGUCCGCAGGUCCUUUGGGCCCAAACGCUCAUGGUCAGUGAUGAAGGGGGCCGGGAAGCACCAUUCACCCUAUAGGAGUUUGAUAAUAAAUACUCAGGUUUGUGUCUUCACGGAGCCAUGAGACUCCGAUGCCGACUCUAAUUUGGGGCAACUCUUGGAGUCUCCCAAGAAGGGAAAUGCAGAGGUGGAGCCCAAACCUACCUUCCCUGCACGGGGUAUUUCCAGGCCCAGAGCAGCGCCCUCUAGAGGAUCAGACGUGUUAAGUGGGAACGGGCAGCCUCAGGACCACCUCCCUGGGUCACACAGUUACCUCUCCCUCCAAGCCAGUUGUCAGACUGGGAGGGCAGUCACCUGCAAGCCACUUGACUUCAGAUUUGGCCUCAGAUCCGUGUGUUUUGGGCACAACGGCUCUCUUCCUGAAUACCGCCAUCGUGACGAGGAAUGAUGAAGUGCGAAGGACUCCCUGGAGGGUUGGUGGUAACACAUUUUGCUGAUUGAAAAAUAAAAGAAUAAGAUAGGUG